rnacentral:lncRNA from 1 species
CAAAAUAUUGAUGGAACCCUUGCAUUUUUUGUUUAAAUUUUGAUAACUCAGUGUUUCCACCAACACCACUCUCACCUAUGAAUGAAGAUAUUACUUAUAUUAGUUAUAUAUAUACAUGUAAUUAGUAUAUGUGUAAUGAUGAAAUUAUAGAAUGUAUACCAGUCGGUACUAAUUGUCCGUUAUUUCCAUAUUUCAAACUAUAUUCGUCGUAGAGAUAUUGCAUCACAUUUUUUAUAUCAGUUACAUUAGUAUUCGAGCAUUCCUCUCCAUAGAGUAUAGUGGUGUAUUAUUUUACCAUUUCCAUCUAAAAAUUAACAAUUAAAAAUUCAUAUUUUAAAAUAGAAAUUGUAAUAUUAAAAUUGUAAAACUAAUUACUAUAGCGUGGAUCCAAAAUUGAUGCAAUUGAUAAGAUUGUGUUAAUCAUUCCCCAAUACUUAUCAAACUUGAUCUUCGUCACUUUGUCAAUUUCUUGAAUUAAAACGUCAUCAUGAUUUAUAAACUCAUUCAAUUUUAAAUGACAUUCACACAACAAAGGAAAGUAUUGAUUGGCCGUAGGAUGAAUCGACAUAGAAAAGGUUUGGGUGACAUUGAAAAAUAAACCAAAACAUUCUGUAAGCUGAGAUGCUACAUUCCAGUCUUCCUCGGAUGGUUUGUAUGUGUAUGAUUUAUCUAUAAGAGCAUAUCUGUUGAAGACUUCUUUGAAUUUAAUUGCUGUUUCCAACAUGAGAUACGUUGAGUUCCAACGAGUAUCAACAUCUAAGACUAAUUUACUCUUUGGAACACCUAUUUGUAUUGCCAACUCCGUAAAUCGUGUUUGUCUUAUUGUCGAAGAUCUGACAUACCUCACACUUUUUCUGAUUUUCGACAUCACGUCGUUAGUAUGUUUCACAGCCUCUUGCACUAUUAAAUUAAUAAUGUGUGCCGUACAUCGAACAUGUAAGAACUGUCCAUCUAACACUAGAGAUCUUGGAGGUAAACUUUUCUUGAUAUCUUUAAUUACGGCAUCAUUAGUAGUACAGUUGUCCAGGACGACACACAUUAUUUUUUGAUCCACGUUCCAUUUGACAAAUUUUUACAUAAGAGCUGCUGAUAUUGUCUCUGCUGUGUGUGGACAAUCAACUUCGAAAAAAUUUAAUAUUCUCUUUUGCAAUUUCCAAUCAGAAUCGAUAUAAUGUGUUGUUAAUGCACAAUACCCUUUAUUUUGAAUGGACGUCCACAUAUCACUAGUGAAUGAUAUAUGUGACAAUUCAAAGACCCUAUAGUUUCAUACAACUUGAAUUUUUCACUAUCAUACAAGAGACAACAGUCACUCUUGAGAGUACAUCUAGAGAUCAUCUUAAAUUGGGGUUGUAGUGAAGAUAUAAAUUUUCUAAAGCCAUGAUGUUCAACGAUGGUGAAUGGGUAUUCAUGUAGCAUCACCAUAUUAGCUAAGGUCAAUCUAUUAUUAGCUUGACUAAAUUUAUAGUUUCUGAUUUCUUGACCUUGUUGGCUACAAUUCAACAUCAUUUGAGUUAUAUGAUUAUUUUUCUUAGAAGGAUGUCGUCUUUCUAAAUGUUUUCUAAGAUGAGUAGUGCCAUCCUUUGGUUUGGCAACAAACAUAGAUUUACAAUGCAAGCAUCUAGCUUUGCGAACAUCACCGACCAUAAAUGAAUCAAAAUCUUUCCAAACAUCGGACUUUAAUUUGCUCUUUAAGUCACUAACAUCUUGCUUUUCUUGACAUGAACUAAAAUAAAAAAAUUUGUAGAGUUGUAUUUGUAUACUUAUAUAAUUGUAGAAUUGUUAUUUGUAUAAUAAGUAAUAAAUCAAUUGUACCUUGGAGUGACCGGAGUCGUUGUCGUUGUUUCUUCCGUUUGUGUUGGAGUAUCCAUUAGUGUGUGUAUCCAUAAGCAAACUGAAAUACAUAAUAAUUAAAAGUUAAUACUAAAUAAUUACAUAAAUACGUAUUGAAAUAAAUGAAUAAACACAAUUGAAUAAACAAAAUAAUGUCUAUUACAAUCAGCAAGAUAGCAACUCAAUAAUGUCAUAUUACUUUGUAAUUAAUUUAACUAUAGUCAAAAUAGUAAAUAAUUUAUCAGUCAUCAAUUCAUUAUCAACUAUCAACUAUCAAAUUUAAUCAAGUUUUUAAUUUAAAAUGAUUCUAAUUUCCAUGUGGACAUUUGGUAAGGUAUAUAUGUAUAAGCAUUAUAAUUUCAAGUUUCCAAUCUCACUUUAAUAAAACGCAAACUAUAGGCAGUAAUCUAGUAUAGUGGGCAGUAAUUUCAAGUUUCCAUGUGGAAAUAUUUGGGGACGAUGAUUUGGGUCAAUGUGGUUUUACAUAUGUUUGUGAGAUUUAAAACAUUCUAAGAUUUAAAGGGCGAGACGAAAAAGGAAAGUGGAGAUCGUAGGUGGAUUUGCGUAUCGAACCAAAGAGAUUAGUCGGUUUAUUAUAGACCUAUUAAUUUGAAACAUUUAAAUCAUUUAAAACAUUCUAAGAUUUGGGUCUUACCUGAUCAAAAUCUCCCCUAGGUUACAGUGAACUGCUGCCCGUCAAUGAACUCCUCGGUGUUGGCAAGUUGGAGGAGAUAUUAGGUUU